GACGAACGCUAGCGGCAGGCCUAAUACAUGCAAGUCGAACGGUAAGGUCUCUUCGGAGAUACACGAGUGGCGCACGGGUGCGUAACGCGUAUGCAACCUACCCUAAAGCGGGGGAAAGUCGCGGGAAACUGCGAAUAAUACCCCAUGUGAUCUUAAAAUUUCAUGAUUUAAAGAUGAAAGCUCCGGCGCUUUAGGAUGGGCAUGCGUCCCAUUAGUUAGUUGGUAAGGUAACGGCUUACCAAGACAAUGAUGGGUAGCUGGUCUGAGAGGAUGAUCAGCCACACGGGCACUGAGACACGGGCCCGACUCCUACGGGAGGCAGCAGUAAGGAAUAUUGGUCAAUGGGGGCAACCCUGAACCAGCCAUGCCGCGUGGAGGAAGAAGGCCCUCUGGGUCGUAAACUGCUUUUCUGAGGGACUAACUGGGUACUAUACGUACCUUUGCAGGUACCUUAGGAAUAAGCACCGGCUAACUACG
rnacentral:rRNA from 1 species